ACAUAGCUAGCUCAGUUGGUAGAGCAUGUGACUUUUGAUCUGAGGGUUGUGAGUUCAAGUCCCACGUUGAGCC
rnacentral:tRNA from 1 species